AUUGAACGCUGGCGGAAUGCUUUACACAUGCAAGUCGAACGGCAGCACGGACUUCGGUCUGGUGGCGAGUGGCGAACGGGUGAGUAACGUAUCGGAACGUGCCCAGUCGUGGGGGAUAACGUAGUGAAAAUUACGCUAAUACCGCAUACGACCUAUGGAUGAAAGCGGGGGAUCGCAAGACCUCGCGCGCUGGGAGCGGCCGGUAUCAGACUAGGUAGUUGGUGGGGUAAAGGUCCACCAAGCCAACGAUCUGAAGCUGGUCUGAGAGACCGACCGGCCACACUGGAACUGGGACACGGUCCAGAAUCCUACGGGAGGCAGCGGUGGGGAAUUUUGGACAAUGGGCGAAAGCCUGAUCCAGCCAUUCCGCGUGCAGGAUGAAGGCCCUCGGGUUGUAAACUGCUUUUGUACAGAACGAAAAGGUUUCUACUAAUACUAGGAGCUCAUGACGGUACUGUAAGAAUAAGCACCGGCUAACUACGUGCCAGCCGCCGCCGUAA
rnacentral:rRNA from 1 species